ensembl:lncRNA
CAUGAGAGCACCAGCUGUUCCGUACAACAGUGUGAUCAUGAUCUCCUUAGCCGAUGUGAGUAAGACCUUUAACAGGUCCACAUUCGCAGGGCCAGACGGAUUACCAGGACGUGCUCACAGCUCAGAGUUCAACACCAUAGUGCCCUCAAAGCUCAUCACUAAGCUAAGGACCCUGGGACUAAACACCUCCCUCUGCAACUGGAUCCUGGACUUCCUGACGGGCUGCCCCCAGGUGUCUGCCUGACCAUUCUGCCUGCUCUGACCUUGAGUCUGCCAGCCACACUGUACCUCCUGGACUCGACGUCACGACCAAGGGUUCAAGGCUAUCAUGGAGCGAAUCAGUGAGUUAGGUCAUAGGCAGCCUGCCACCUCCGAGACCACCCAACCAUCCAGUAAUCUGUCUAUUAUCAGUCGUGGGUUUGUACAGCCUACCGCGGCUCCUCCGGAGCGAUAUCCUGGGGAUCCUGGAACCUGCCAGGGUUUCUUAAUGCUCCCUUAUUUUUGAGCUGCAGCCAUCUUCGUUCUCUUCGGACCGGUCAAAGAUAGUGUAUAUUAUUACGCUAAUGUCAGGAAGGGCGCUCUCCUGGGCUACGGCAGUUCGGGAGCAACAAUCCACCAUUUGUUGUCAUCUGGAGGAUUUCAUGCAGAGGUGAGGAAGGUAUUCGAUUCUCCGGUAUCCGGGAGAGAGGCGGCCAGUAAACUUCUUGAAUUACGUCAAAACUCCCGUAGUGUGGCAGACUACAAGGUUGAUUUUUGCACAUUGGCUGCCGAGAGUGCCUGGAAUCUGGAGUCUCUUUUCGAUACCGUUCUUCACGGAUUAUCUGAGGUGGUAAAACCUCGACGCCCUCAUCGCCCUCACCAUUAGAAUUGAUGGACGCCUAAGGGAAAACAGGAGUGAGAGGAGGUCUGGUCUCGGGCACACUCGUUCAUCUGCUAUGGCUCGCUCACCUUUGAAAAUCAUCAACGAUCAUCAACGAUCAGUUCACCUUCGUGAAUCAUCAACGACGGGUGAAUUGGAUACUCCUGGGCCUACGCAAUUGGGACGAGCUAGGUUAUCGGUUGGGGAACGCUCACAUAGGCUGAGUUCAAACUGUUGUCUGUACUGUGGAGGGGCAGGACAUUACAUAGCUACCUGCCCUGUUAGGUAACCCUUGUCUUUGUUGGGUACAAGUACUCUGGUGAGCCAGACUGGGAGUUCACUAAUUCGCAUUACUCGCACACCUAUUUUUGUGCUUUUGCUGUGGGGAGACCCAUCUAAGUCUCUCCGAAGUGCUCAUUGACUCUGGGGCUGAUGAAAGUUUUAUGGAUGCUACUAAUGUUUCUGAGCUUGGUAUUCCCAUUCAACCUCUCUCGGUUCCCAUGGAUGCUAGGGCACUGGACGGCUGCUCAAUAGGUAGAGUCACCCAUAGUACUGUGCCCGUUCAUAUACAGGUUUGAGGUAACCACAGUGAGACCAUACAGUUCCUCCUCAUUGCAUCUCCAUGUUCCGGUUGUCUUGGGAUUUUCAUGGAUCCAAAAACACAACCCUUUUAUUGACUGGACCUGUCUUCACUGUCUUCGAGCUGCACAGCCUUCCCCGAGACGUCUUCCUCAGGACGUUAGCAAGGCUUUGGAUGUUUCUGCCAUUCCCACUGAAUACCAUGACCUCCUUGAAGUUUUCAGUAAGGCACAUGCUGCUUCCCUUCCCCUGCACCGUCCUUAUGAUUGUGCCAUUGAUCUUCUCCCAGGCACCACACCACCUCGGGGUCGGCUAUAUUCUCUAUCCGGGCCGGAGAUCAAGUCUCUGGCUACUGGGGCCAUCCGUCCGUCUGCAUCUCCUGCCGUUUCAGGGUUUUUCUUUGUGGAGAAGAAGGUCCGUGCAUUGACUACCGGGGACUUAAUGACAUUAUGGUUAAAAAUCGGGGGGGGGGGGACACACCAUUUUUUCCAAGUUGGACCUUCGGAAUGCCUACCAGCUGGUUCGGAUACGUGAAGGGGAAAACAGACUGCAACACAGCCAGCGGACUCCAGCUCCCCGCUACCACAUUGGGCAGAGGGCCCCCCAUCCCUCCCCUGUGUCAUUGAUGGCCAUCCGGCAUACACGGUGAGACGUCUCCUGAGUCUUUGACCAAGUGGCAGGGGUUUCCAGUACCUGGUUGACUGGGAGGAUUACGGCCCGGAGGAGAGGUGCUGAGUUUCCGAUAGAGACAUCCUGGAUCCAGCCCUCAUCACCGACUUCUACCGCCGACACCAGGUUAACCAGGUGUCUGUAACGAUCUUCGUCUUCAUCGGAUGAGGAGUAGGAAGGAUCGGACCAAAACGCAGCGUGGUCCUAUGAUUGAGUCCAGUCUGACCCAGGGGUGUGAAGGUGAACGGAAAGGCUCUGGAGCAACAAACCGCCCAUGCUGUCUCUGCCUGGCCGGUUCCCCUCUUUCCAUGGGGAUUCUCUGCCUCUAACCCUAUUACAGGGGCUGAGUCACUGGCUUACUGGUGCUCUUCCAUGCCGUCCAUAGGAGGGGUGCGUCGACUCACUGACGUGAUCUUCCUGUCCGGGUUGGCGCCCCCCUUGGGUUCAUGCCGUGGGGAGAUCUUCGUGGGCCUUGUCUCAGGGUAGUAAGUUGGUGUUUUGAAGAUAUCCCUCUAGUGGUGUGGGGACUGUGCUUUGGCAAAGUGGGUGGGGUUAUAUCCUGCCUGGUUGGCCCUGUCUGGGGGUAUUGUCAGACGGGGCCACAGUGUCUCCUACCCCUCCUGCCUCAGCCUCCAGUAUUUAUGCUGCAAUAGUUUAUGUGUCGGGGGGCUAGGGUCAGUCUGUUAUAUCUGGAGUGUUUCUCCUGUCUUAUUCUGUGUCUUGUGUGAAUUUAAGUAUGCUCCCUCUAAUUUCUCUCUCUCCCGCCCUGGGACCAUGCCUCAGGACUACCUGACCUGAUGACUCCUUGCUGUCCCCAGUCCACCUGUUCGUGCUGCUGCUCCAGUUUCAACUGUUCUGCCUGCAGCUAUGGAACCCUGACCUGUUCACCGAAUGUGCUACCUUGUCCCGGACCUGCUGUUUUUCGAUUCUCUCUCUCUACUACACCUGCUGUCUCUAACUCUGAAUGAUCAGCUAUGAAAAGCCAACUGCCAUUUACUCCUGAGAUGCUGACCUGUUGCACCCUCUACAACCACUGUGAUUAUUAUUUGACCCUGCUGGUCAUCUAUGAACGUUUGACCAUCUUGGCCACUCCUCAGAGCUAGGUUUCUUUCUAGGCUCCUGCCUUUCUAGGGAGUUUUUCCUAGCCACUGUGCUUCUACAUCUGCAUAGCUUGCUGUUUUGGGGUUUUAGGCUGGGAUCCUGGAUAGCACUUUGUGACAUCGGCUGAUGUAAAAAGGGCUUUAUAAAUACAUUUGAGUGAUUGUUCACCCACGACUGUGUGGCCAAGCAUGACUCCAAUACCAUCAUUAAGUUUGCAGACAACACAAUGGUAGAUCUGAUUAAUGACAAUGAAGAGACAGCCUAUAGGGAGGGGGUCAGAGACCUGGCAGUGUGGUGCCAGGACAACAACCUCUCCCUCAAUGUGAUCAAGACAAAGGAGCUGAUCGUGGACUACAGGCAAAGGAGGCCGAGCACACCCCCAUUCGCACCCCCAUUCACGUCGAGAGCUUCAAGUUUCUUGGUGUCCACAUCACCAACAAACUAUCAUGGUCCAAACACACCAAGACAGUAGUGAAGAGGGCACAACAAAGUCUAUUCCCCCUCAGGAGACUGAAAACAUUUGGCAGGGGUCCUCAGCCUCGUUAUUGUUAUUUUAUUGUUACUCAUUUAUUUUUUUAACUUUAGUUUAUUUAGUAAAUAUUUUCUUAACUCUUAUUUUUCUGAAAACUGCCUUGUUGGGUAAGGGAUUGUAAGUAAGCAUUUCACAAAUACCUUUUGUAUUCGGGGCAUGUGGCAAAUAACAUUUGAUUAGAUUUUAUGUUAAUAUGAUUAUUGUGUGUGUUCUGUGUGUGUAUGGGAGGAUAUGGCUGGCUUCCUCACUUCAGUGUGUGACACUGCGUAUGUGUUUGUGUGUCAUUGUGUGUGUAUAUGUCACUGAGUGUGUCAGAAUUCUGCUAUAUAAGGUAUUACCAGGUUGCCAUGGUGAUUAGUGAGUGAGAUAAGGCCAUCUCUAUUGGGGGGAGAAAGAAGAGG